rnacentral:rRNA from 2 species
ACUUAAAUUGAAGAGUUUGAUCAUGGCUCAGAUUGAACGCUGGCGGCAGGCCUAACACAUGCAAGUCGAACGGUAGCACAGAGAGCUUGCUCUCGGGUGACGAGUGGCGGACGGGUGAGUAAUGUCUGGGAAACUGCCUGAUGGAGGGGGAUAACUACUGGAAACGGUAGCUAAUACCGCAUAACGUCGCAAGACCAAAGAGGGGGACCUUCGGGCCUCUUGCCAUCAGAUGUGCCCAGAUGGGAUUAGCUAGUAGGUGGGGUAACGGCUCACCUAGGCGACGAUCCCUAGCUGGUCUGAGAGGAUGACCAGCCACACUGGAACUGAGACACGGUCCAGACUCCUACGGGAGGCAGCAGUGGGGAAUAUUGCACAAUGGGCGCAAGCCUGAUGCAGCCAUGCCGCGUGUAUGAAGAAGGCCUUCGGGUUGUAAAGUACUUUCAGCGGGGAGGAAGGUGUUGUGGUUAAUAACCGCAGCAAUUGACGUUACCCGCAGAAGAAGCACCGGCUAACUCCGUGCCAGCAGCCGCGGUAAUACGGAGGGUGCAAGCGUUAAUCGGAAUUACUGGGCGUAAAGCGCACGCAGGCGGUCUGUCAAGUCGGAUGUGAAAUCCCCGGGCUCAACCUGGGAACUGCAUUCGAAACUGGCAGGCUAGAGUCUUGUAGAGGGGGGUAGAAUUCCAGGUGUAGCGGUGAAAUGCGUAGAGAUCUGGAGGAAUACCGGUGGCGAAGGCGGCCCCCUGGACAAAGACUGACGCUCAGGUGCGAAAGCGUGGGGAGCAAACAGGAUUAGAUACCCUGGUAGUCCACGCCGUAAACGAUGUCGACUUGGAGGUUGUGCCCUUGAGGCGUGGCUUCCGGAGCUAACGCGUUAAGUCGACCGCCUGGGGAGUACGGCCGCAAGGUUAAAACUCAAAUGAAUUGACGGGGGCCCGCACAAGCGGUGGAGCAUGUGGUUUAAUUCGAUGCAACGCGAAGAACCUUACCUACUCUUGACAUCCAGAGAACUUAGCAGAGAUGCUUUGGUGCCUUCGGGAACUCUGAGACAGGUGCUGCAUGGCUGUCGUCAGCUCGUGUUGUGAAAUGUUGGGUUAAGUCCCGCAACGAGCGCAACCCUUAUCCUUUGUUGCCAGCGGUCCGGCCGGGAACUCAAAGGAGACUGCCAGUGAUAAACUGGAGGAAGGUGGGGAUGACGUCAAGUCAUCAUGGCCCUUACGAGUAGGGCUACACACGUGCUACAAUGGCGCAUACAAAGAGAAGCGAACUCGCGAGAGCAAGCGGACCUCAUAAAGUGCGUCGUAGUCCGGAUUGGAGUCUGCAACUCGACUCCAUGAAGUCGGAAUCGCUAGUAAUCGUAGAUCAGAAUGCUACGGUGAAUACGUUCCCGGGCCUUGUACACACCGCCCGUCACACCAUGGGAGUGGGUUGCAAAAGAAGUAGGUAGCUUAACCUUCGGGAGGGCGCUUACCACUUUGUGAUUCAUGACUGGGGUGAAGUCGUAACAAGGUAACCGUAGGGGAACCUGCGGUUGGAUCACCUCCUUACCUUAAAGAA